GUGCCAGCAGCCGCGGUAAUACAUAGGUCCCAAGCGUUAUCCGGAAUUACUGGGCGUAAAGCGUCUGCAGGUGGAAAAGUGUGUGAGAUGUGAAAGACCGGGGCUCAACCCCGCGUUUGUAUCUCAAACUGCUUUUCUUGAGUGAGCAAGAGGUAUGCGGAUUUAUGGAGUAGGAGUGCAAUCCGUUGACACCAUAAAGAACACCAAAAGCGAAGGCAGCAUACUGGGGCUCUACUGACACUCAGAGACGAAAGCGUGGGGAGCGAAAGGGAUUAGAUACCCCUGUAGUCCACGCCCUAAACUAUGAUGACUAGAUGUUGGUCCUUCGGGAUCAGUGUCGUAGCUAACGCGUUAAGUCAUCCGCCUGAGUAGUACGACCGCAAGGUUAAAACUCAAAUGAAUAGACGGGGGCCCACACAAGCAGUGGAUCAUGCGGUUUAAUUCGAUACUGAACGAGGAACCUUACCCAGACUUGAUAUCUACGAAAGCCCGCAGAAAUGUAGGCGUGCCCUCACGGGAAUCGUAAGACAGGUGCUGCAUGGUUGCCGUCAGCUCGUGCCUUGAGGUGUUCGGUUGAGUCCGUUAACGAGCGAAACCCAUGUCGUUAGUUACUAUGUCUAACGAGACUGCCCGAGUUAAUCGGGAGGAAGGUGUGGAUGACGUCAAGUCAUCAUGCCCCUUACACCCUGGGCUACACACGUGCUACAUUGGGCAAGACAAAAGGUCGCGAGCCUGUGAAGGUCAGCUAAUCUUAAAACUUGCUCUAAGUUCAGAUUGAAGGCUGCAACUCGCCUUCAUGAAGAUGGAAUCGCUAGUAAUCGCUGGUCAGCUACACAGCGGUGAAUCCGUUCCCGGGCCUUGUACACACCGCCCGUCACACCAUGGAAGCUGGCUAUGCCCAAAGUCGUUAUUCUAACCGUUUGGAGGAAGGCGCCUAAGGUAGGGCUAGUGACUGGGGUGAAGUCGUAACAAGGUAACC
rnacentral:rRNA from 1 species